GAGUUAGCCCUGCAGGAGGAUGAGGCAGGAAUUGAGACGCUAUAAGUGGACUAAGUGGCCAAAGCCUGUGACAUUAAGGAGUAGGAAAGGAUGCUGAGAGGAUAAUCUCAGAGAUGCAGCUCUCCAGCUGAUGAAAAUCAGAAGAGCCAGAUAAUCACUGAGAGGGAUUCCCACCUAGAAAGAAGGCAAUUGCAGGGGCUUUAAGAAAAAGGGUGCAGUAGUUGCUCCAGUUCUGCCUGUCAUUCCUGCACCACUGCCUUUCCAAGCACUGUCUCUUAAGAUGCUGGAGGAGGGGCUGAGGCCCUUUUAAUGAAGUGAAAGGAUGAGCGGGAGGCUGACCAGAACAGCAGUGGAAAGAGCAAAGACACAUGCUGAGAGCCCUGUGCAUGGGGAAACCAGAGCCGCAGCUUGUUCCAGACCCCGGAGCCUCUGAAGCACAGAUGUCUCCAGGAAAUCUUCACGCUUCACCCCAACAGAGCUCUGGCCAGGAAAAGAAUCUCCUUGGUCUAUUUUAAGUUGUAAAAGGAAAGAAUAUGAGACUCUUCCUAAAUUCUUGAAACCGGUAUCUGGGCCUCUGGGAAUGAAGAAAGACUCUGACUGUGACUGCAUUUAGGGACCGCAGUAUUUUAUACAAAUCUGACUUCGACUCUCUGAAAAUCUAUAGGGAUGCUUCACUGGGCAGUUGGGAGGAGCGUCCAUAUUGAAGAUUUUCACCACAGACAGAGUUUAUGUUCUGGAUCCAACAAACCCUUGGUUGCCAAUGAAUUCCCUCCCGGGUAAUCCCAUCAAGUCGCUCUGUGAAGGGUCAGCCCUAUAUGCACCUCAACUGCAGGUCAGCAACUCGCACACACAAUGCCCCUUAUACAUAUAUGCAAUUUAAAAGAUCGGACCCUUCACCAGAGCUUACUUCUAAGGGUUGGCUGUACAUGAAACUGAAGAAACCCACUUAAGGAACCAACUUUUUCCCCCUGGAAGCAAACAGGAGCACGUGGAGUCAUAGAACUCUAUCUGGCUAUCGACAUUGGACGCACAAAAGACACGUCAGUGUGGCAUUUCCUACCCCAUGAAGCCACUUUCCCCUCCAUGCCUGCUCUACAAAUACAAUAGAGCAUUGAUUGAAUCUUAAACUCACCAGACUUCAAUAAAUUCUGACCAUGUAAGAAAUUAAAGUCGAAGCGAGGGACACGCAGAGUGUUAGUCCUUCUCAAAAUAAUAAUUUAAUAACCCUCCAAAAAGUAUAGUGGUUUAGGAAAGGCAACCCAGAUGGGAACAUAUAAAAUAAAGCUAUAAAGUUUCCUUCAAAUGUAUUUUAAUCAUUGUUAAAUAUUUACAUUUAAUAAGCACUCGUUUUUAUUGCAAGAGAGAUGUAAUUACACUUAUCAUCCGUGGAAAAAUGGACUUUUAAUAGCCUGUACAUUGAUUUGCUAAGAUGAAAUAGUGUCACAGAAAUAUGUCACUCCCUCUCCCCUGGGAAUACAUACCACAUGUGAAUGUAAAACAGAUGAGGGGUUUUUAUCAGUGCUCUAUCAGCUCUAUUCCUCGUUGUCUCUGUUAUAGUCAAUACAAAUCUUUAGGGCAGAUGUUUUGCUAACUAGAAAGAGCCUGUCAUAAUGUUGCAUCCUUGCUAAUAAGGUCAUUUAUUCAGUAAACACCAACAGGAGGAGCAGCACCACCUUGAUAUCAACCCACGGGAGCUGCAGGGAAGCUCUUUGUGGUGCACAGUGCAUGCACCCUUUGGAUCCUGGCCAUAUUUCUGGACAGCUAUGGAACAUUCGAGCCCUUUAUUAGAGCCUGCCAUUAGUCAUGAUGCAAAGCAGUGAUCUAUCUGAGCACGGAGCCAGGCAGGUGAACACAGGGCUUGGUGUGAGCAUUACUGUUGCCCAUCGUGAGGUACCAUCUUUUGAAAAUACUAAACAACUCGUGCUCACUCUUAGAUGAAAGGUGAUUGUCCUUUCAGCUGUGGUGCACAUGUGGUAGCUAUUAUGGCCUUGUUUUGUCCGUGUUCCAGUAGUGGCUGUUGCAGUGAAUUGAGGAACAGCUGCCAGGAAGUGUCCUUCUCUAUAUGAUCUAAUGAGGGUACUGGGGAACCCAGUGAAAGAAGAUUGGGGCACCACUGCUCUUCUUGAUGUGAGCAACUAUUCAAAGCACAUAAGCAAAUACUCAGACUAUGUGGGUGAUUUAAUACUGAUUAAUCUCUGCUAUCUGAAACCCCAUGGAAGGCAGGUACAGCAUGCAGGAAGGACAACAAGGCACUGACUUCAUAUCUUGCAUUAGCCAAAAAAAGGAACUCGUUUCAUUGACUUCACUGAUCCAAAAUAAAGAAAUCAAACCAUCAUAUGAAUGAAAGCUAUUGGCCCGACUAAUUAAAAAUAAUGGACUGCCGGAAAGAAAAACAAAAACAAAAGCAAAAACAAAUGAUGGGUGGUUAAUUAAACUGAAAGCUACAUUUGCUCUUUGAGUGUCCCUGGUUUGAGGUACAGCUGCCACACUGAUGGCCGGAGAUGCUCCUCUGCUUUCCGGUCCUGACCUUCUCCUGCAGCACUUCGUCCAUGCAGAGGCCUGCAGGGUGCAGCAGCGGCAGCACUGCCUUCUCUUCCCUGUUAAUGUGGAGGCACAUUGAGUUUGAUGAACAGUUUUUUACCAUGAUUCUUCAUCAAGCAGUGGCUGGCCAUCUUGUGAACAGUGCUGUCCCUCCAGCUCAGGUGCUGUUGGCCUCCCAGUCCCUAACACAGCCCUUAUUUGAUGCCUUGUGCACUUUUCCUUAGGUCUUUUUACAAAAGCAUGUGAGGCACUUGUGAUAAUGAUGUGGGAAAGGGAUGAGCGCAGGUAUGGCAUGAUUCCCUAUACUUUCUAUCUGCUUCCAGUGCUUACAAGCUCUGGUUCGUGUCCAGCUUGUGUUCAGCAGUUAGAAGCCUUGUAAAAAAUAUGAUUUAUUAUUAUCUUAAAUGGGCAUUAAUGCAUACUGAAAGAUCAAUCUAAAUACAAGUGGAUCACAGGCGCAGUAAGAAAGUCUCUGGCAGGAUAUACGACACAGGAUACUUUUGCAUCCACUUAGGGACUCGCCGUAGGUUCUUAAUAAAUUACAGUAAGUAAAUAUUUCAUAUCACAGCUCAGUGCCUGUUCUCACUGCAUUAAGCAGAAACCCAACACUGUUGGAGAGAAGCAGUUGCAGGACACAGAGCAGGAGAUGGCCAUGGCCAACCAAAUGGCACCCUGCAGCCCAGGUCCCUCCGUGUCCAUCAGUGCAUCUCCUGCAGCUGUGCAGCAGCGUGCAACAGCAUCUUUGAUCCAUUCAAGCAGAGCUUCAGCAAGUGGCCCAGGGGGUUAAUCCUGCCAGGAAUCAUUGCUUUUUGUUGCAUCUUUAUCACAUUCCUGGACACAAGCAGCUUCUUCAUCCGUAGUUUUAUAAGGGGAGGGAAAUGGAAAAGCAGCACUAAUACACUUGGCAGAUGCUGCCUUACAGUAGCUCAGUAAUUACAGUAUCUCAGUGGUGAGAUGGCUGAACCCUUCAUUCUGCUCUGGCAGCAGCCAAGGGAAUUCUUGUGGGGUUUGGCUGCUGCUCCCUGCUGCAGGACGUCCGGAGUGCACCCUGGGCUCGGUGCAGGUCCUGCUCCACUGCGUGGGAGCAAACAGUGCACGCAGGGAGCAAUGCCUGCAUCACUCCUCUGUGUUUCUAAUGCCACCACGUGCUGACAAGGUCUGUGUUGAAAAAUCACAGUUAGCACCGGGAAGAAAGGAGAAGUCUGGUUUUGGAGCUGGCAGACAGGUGUGCUUUUGAAGAAAAUGCAACAAAAACUCCAGCAAAGCUCUGAGCUGCUGGCAGGGCGCUGUGCUUCCCUCGGUGCUGCAGGGAAGCAAAGCAACCUGCUCUGCUCCAGCUCUGCAUGCUGGCUUCUUUAAUUCCUGCCUGGCUGCAUGGAUGAGCUGCAUCGGCUAACAUCCCUUUAAUUGACUUCAGUGAAACAGGAUGCAAUCAGCAGUGCUAAAGACAAAGCAGUAAGGCUUUACAAAUGGUAACCGGUGCCAUUCCCCAAUUCCUUUCCCCAUGCAUCCCACAGUUCAGCCCUUCCCUCAGCACACUCCUGGCUCUCUUAGUGCAGUCCAUCUCCAGAUCCAAAGCGCUGAUACCUUUGGCUGCGUUCCAUCAGUCCCACAUGCCAUCUAUCUUAAUUGAACACAGCAGCGUAUCGAUGGCUUAUCAGACAGAAAGCAGUUUAAUGCUUCCAGCACUGGAACAGAUUUGUUAAAUGUCAUCUGCGACUCUCUCCAUUGCUGGGCUGUGUGCUUGGGCUGGGGAAGAAGGGAGGGCGGUGUGUCAGGAGUAAAGGAGGUGUGCACAGGAAACAGCACUGCAGAAUCAUCUCGGGAGAAAAGAGCUGUAUUCGUAACAGUAAGGGAUUAAUCAUCAAGUGCAAUAAUAAACACUGCUACAACCAAUGCAAAUCCAGUCGUAGUGAAAGCCAACAUUUAGAGCUAUUGGGAUUUCUGAGAAGAGCUUGUGCAACACACAAACCACUUUGCUUUCCUGUUCAGUGUUAGUUACACCCAGCUAAAAGCCUUAAUUGCUGCUAUUUUAUGCUUCACGUCAGCUGAUUCCUGAUUCACUUUGCAUGGUUAUGUGCCUUUUUGGCCCCUACCUGAAGUCACAUCUAUUUGAAGGAUGCUCUGCAAGCAGCCUUCUGGAGGCGGCAGCCCUUGGAGCUCAUCCAGCACCUGCUGCUCAUGUAGCAAAGGACGGUGUUGCUUUGAGCCCUUCCAUACACAGAUCCAAGCAGGACUUACAUAAAAUAAAUGGUCAGAACGAACUCAGCCCCAUCGUUAUGGUGACUGUUGUAUUUGAUCACCGACCUGUUGGGUGUCACUAAAGCAGGGAGCCGCAGUGCAAACGCUGGCAGAUCUGCAUGCAGAUGUAGGGAAGCACUGCAUCUGCUCUGCUCAGCAUCUGCAGCUUUUAACUGAGUUGUUUUCUUUCUCUCUUAUUUUUAAUUUCUCCGAUAUUUGUUGUUCUUAUGAGACACAUUCAAAGCAGCAAAUCAAAA
rnacentral:lncRNA from 1 species